rnacentral:rRNA from 1 species
AUUGAACGCUGGCGGCAUGCCUUACACAUGCAAGUCGAACGGUAACAGGUCUUCGGAUGCUGACGAGUGGCGAACGGGUGAGUAAUACAUCGGAACGUGCCCGAGAGUGGGGGAUAACGAGGCGAAAGCUUUGCUAAUACCGCAUACGAUCUCAGGAUGAAAGCAGGGGACCGCGAGGCCUUGCGCUCCCGGAGCGGCCGAUGGCAGAUUAGGUAGUUGGUGGGAUAAAAGCUUACCAAGCCGACGAUCUGUAGCUGGUCUGAGAGGACGACCAGCCACACUGGGACUGAGACACGGCCCAGACUCCUACGGGAGGCAGCAGUGGGGAAUUUUGGACAAUGGGCGCAAGCCUGAUCCAGCCAUGCCGCGUGCAGGAUGAAGGCCUUCGGGUUGUAAACUGCUUUUGUACGGAACGAAAAGACUCUGGUUAAUACCUGGGGUCCAUGACGGUACCGUAAGAAUAAGCACCGGCUAACUACGUGCCAGCCGCCGCAGUAAAAC